rnacentral:rRNA from 1 species
AACGAACGCUGGCGGCGUGCCUAACACAUGCAAGUCGAACGAGACCUUCGGGUCUAGUGGCGCACGGGUGCGUAACGCGUGGGAAUCUGCCCUUCGGUUCGGAAUAACAGUGGGAAACUACUGCUAAUACCGGAUAACGACGUAAGUCCAAAGAUUUAUCGCCGAGGGAUGAGCCCGCGUAGGAUUAGCUAGUUGGUGGGGUAAAAGCUCACCAAGGCGACGAUCCUUAGCUGGUCUGAGAGGANGAUCAGCCACACUGGGACUGAGACACGGCCCAGACUCCUACGGGAGGCAGCAGUGGGGAAUAUUGGACAAUGGGCGAAAGCCUGAUCCAGCAAUGCCGCGUGAGUGAUGAAGGCCUUAGGGUUGUAAAGCUCUUUUACCCGGGAUGAUAA